rnacentral:rRNA from 1 species
AUUGUUAGUUGCCAUCAUUCAGUUGGGCACUCUAGCGAGACUGCCGGUAAUAAACCGGAGGAAGGUGGGGAUGACGUCAAAUCAUCAUGCCCCUUAUGACCUGGGCUACACACGUGCUACAAUGGUUGGUACAACGAGUUGCGAGUCGGUGACGGCGAGCUAAUCUCUUAAAGCCAAUCUCAGUUCGGAUUGUAGGCUGCAACUCGCCUACAUGAAGUCGGAAUCGCUAGUAAUCGCGGAUCAGCACGCCGUGGUCGAAUACGUUCCCGGGCCUU